rnacentral:rRNA from 1 species
UACGUAGGGUGCAAGCGUUGUCCGGAAUUAUUGGGCGUAAAGAGCUCGUAGGCGGUCUGUCGCGUCGGCUGUGAAAACCCCGGGGCUCAACCCCGGGCCUGCAGUCGAUACGGGCAGACUAGAGUGUGGUAGGGGAGACUGGAAUUCCUGGUGUAGCGGUGAAAUGCGCAGAUAUCAGGAGGAACACCGGUGGCGAAGGCGGGUCUCUGGGCCAUAACUGACGCUGAGGAGCGAAAGCGUGGGGAGCGAACAGG